rnacentral:rRNA from 1 species
AGAUCUUGGUGGUAGUAGCAAAAUAUUCAAUAGAGAACAUUGAAGACUGAAGUGGAGAAGGGUUUCAUGGCAAUAUCAAUUAGCCAUGAGUUAGUCGAUCCUGAACGGAGGGUUAAUUCCUUAAAACACUAAGUAAUUAGUGAUUCCGUGAAAGGGAAGUAGGUUAAUAUUCCUACACCGGGUUAAGGGGAUUUAAUGAGGUAACUCAAAUGAUCUUAGAGACGCCAUUGUGAAAGUCAAGAAGAGUUCUCUUCUCUGUUUUACAAACUGUUGUACAGUUUACUGUGCAAUGUUAAAAUCCUUGGAAUUGAAUCAUUCAGAGAUAAGGAUUAAAAGUUUGGUAGAGUAAAUCAUUUUUUGAUUUAUUUGGCUUUUUCACAAUGGUUCAUAAAAAAUCUGAGGGAAAAAAUAUCCAUCUUAUCCGUUCGUACUCAUCACCGCAGCAGGUCUCCAAGGUUAGAAGCCUCUAGUUGACAGAAUAACGUUGGUAAGGGAAGUCGGCAAAUUAAAUUU